rnacentral:rRNA from 1 species
AUGGCGUCGCCGGCCGCGGCCGCCUCCGGCCACCGCCGCCGCCUCCUCCUCCUCCUCAUCGCGCUUCUCCUCCUCCCGUUCGCCGCGGCCGCCGCGCCGCACAGGCACCGCGUCCCGUCCCGCCACCUCGCCUCGCUCAACGCGUCGGCGCCGCCGACCACCUUCUUCGAGGUGGACCGCCCGAUCCGCCCGCCGCUCGGCAGCGCCGGGCCCUGCUCCGCGCUGCUCCUCUCCCACUCCUUCGGCGAGACCUACGGCAGGCCCCCGGUCACCGCCGCCUACGCGCCGCCCGAGUGCCUCGCCGCCGCGCGCGCCCGGGGCGCCUCGCUCGCGCUCGCCGUGCUCGAGUGGGCCGCCGACUGCCGCGGCCGCCAGUUCGACCGCAUCUUCGGCGUCUGGCUCUCCGGCGCCGAGCUCCUCCGCAGCUGCACCGCCGAGCCGCGCGCCACCGGCAUCGUCUGGUCCGUCUCCCGCGACGUCACCAGGUACGCGGCCCUUCUCAAUGAGCCCGGCGAGGUCGCGGUGUACCUUGGCAACCUCGUCGACAAGACCUACACGGGCGUCUACCACGUCAACCUCACGCUCCACCUCUACUUCCACCCUGCGCCGCCGCCGCUCACGCAGCACGCCGAUCUGAUCGUGCCCAUCUCGAGAAGCUUGCCUCUGAACGACGGGCAGUGGUUCGCCGUCCAGAACGCCACCGACGUGCAGUCCAAGAGCCUCUCCAUUCCGUCGAACACCUACCGGGCGGUCCUUGAGGUAUCCGUUUCCUUCCACUCCAGCGAUGAGUUCUGGUACACGAACCCUCCCAAUGAGUACAUUCAGGCCAACAAUUUGUCCAGCGUUUCUGGCAAUGGUGCGUUUCGGGAGGUUAUUGUUAAAGUAGAUGACCAUAUCGUCGGUGCUGUUUGGCCGUUCACUGUCAUCUACACCGGCGGCAUCAACCCACUUCUCUGGCGGCCAAUCACCGGCAUUGGCUCAUUCAAUCUGCCUACCUAUGACAUUGAUAUCACGCCAUUCUUGGGCAAGCUCCUGGACGGCAAGGAGCAUAAUUUUGGGUUUGCUGUCACCAAUGCAUUGGAUGUGUGGUACAUCGAUGCCAAUUUACAUCUGUGGCUGGAUCACAAGAGCAAGAAAACAGUCGGGAGCUUGAUCAGCUAUGAUGCACCGGCACUGGCACUGAAUUUGGACUAUGGGUUCAGUGGGCUGGAUGGUAAGUUCGUCACGGGCGCAAGCCGGCAUGUCUCCGCAACCGGGUCGGUGAAAUCAUCAUACGGGGAGGUGACCACAACUUUCUACCAGAGAUUUAGCUAUGUUAACAGCAAUGUAUAUAGGAGCAAUGGCACUGUGCAAGUGGUGAACCAAACGAUUGAUGCAAAGUCUGGUGUUUUUGUCAAGGAUACUUCUGCUGUUCUUCUCUCAGAGGAGGUUCACAAGGUGUUUCCGCUGUAUGUCUACACUGGAACAUCAGACCAGGUGGGUGAUGAGUACUCAUUGAUUUCGCUUGUCAAAUUGGGCAUCAACGAGAAGAGUGUUUCGGGUGGGAAGCUAGGGUUCUCGUACCGCUCUUUGCGGAAUGCACAGUCAGCACGCGGCACAAUGAAGGUGAAGAAGAAUUUGGUGGUUAGUGGUUUGGGGCAGACACAUCAGGUGUACAAAUAUAUGGGUACUGAUGGAUGCUACUUCAGGGAUGUGAGCAGCAAGAAUUACACUAUAAUUUCUGACAACUCUGGUGAUUCUUGCUCAAAGGGAUCGCCGUCUAGUGGUGUCAAAUUUUCCUCCAAUAAAAAUCAACCAGCUAGGAAAAGGUUGCUGAAACUUUAA